rnacentral:rRNA from 1 species
GAUGAACGCUGGCGGCGUGCCUAAUACAUGCAAGUCGAGCGAACAGACGAGGAGCUUGCUCCUCUGACGUUAGCGGCGGACGGGUGAGUAACACGUGGAUAACCUACCUAUAAGACUGGGAUAACUUCGGGAAACCGGAGCUAAUACCGGAUAAUAUAUUGAACCGCAUGGUUCAAUAGUGAAAGACGGUUUUGCUGUCACUUACAGAUGGAUCCGCGCCGCAUUAGCUAGUUGGUAAGGUAACGGCUUACCAAGGCAACGAUGCGUAGCCGACCUGGGAGGGUGAUCGGCCACACUGGAACUGAGACACGGUCCAGACUCCUACGGGAGGCAGCAGUAGGGAAUCUUCCGCAGUGGGCGAAAGCCUGACGGAGCAACGCCGCGUGAGUGAUGAAGGUCUUCGGAUCGUAAAACUCUGUUAUUAGGGAAGAACAAAUGUGUAAGUAACUAUGCACGUCUUGACGGUACCUAAUCAGAAAGCCACGGCUAACUACGU